rnacentral:rRNA from 1 species
UGGGGAAUUGUUCGCAAUGGGCGCAAGCCUGACGACGCAACGCCGCGUGGAGGAUGAAGGUCUUCGGAUUGUAAACUCCUGUUGAUCGGGACGAACAUCCAUCGGGCUAAUAUCCCGGCGGACUGACGGUACCGGUUGAGGAAGCCCCGGCUAACUCCGUUCCAGCAGCCGCGGUAAUACGGAGGGGGCUAGCGUUGUUCGGAAUUACUGGGCGUAAAGCGCACGUAGGCGGCUUUGUAAGUUAGAGGUGAAAGCCCGGAGCUCAACUCCGGAACUGCCUUUAAGACUGCAUCGCUUGAACGUUGGAGAGGUGAGUGGAAUUCCGAGUGUAGAGGUGAAAUUCGUAGAUAUUCGGAAGAACACCAGUGGCGAAGGCGACUCACUGGACAACUGUUGACGCUGAGGUGCGAAAGCGUGGGGAGCAAA